UCCCAUUUCAGAUCAAGGAGACAUUCAAUAUCUUAUUCACCUGAGAGGCAGUUUCUGGAAGGUUGACCUGGGACUCUAGUUCAGGGUCUUUCGUUGGCCAUGUCUGAAGGGGCUGGAUGCCGAAGGAGAGAGACGACUUUGCUUUCCAUAGAAUGGUUUGUGCUAUCUGACUCCCACAAGGCACCUUCGUUAACGGGUCCAUCAGUGGGCCUGGAGGCUGGGCAGCUGUCCUGAAACAGAAGAGUUGGGAAAGGCACUAAGAGACAGAGAAGAACGGCAGGCCAAUCCCUGGCCUGCUUUACCCUCCUCCCAAAGGCAGCCCCGCUGGUAAGCAAGGAGGAGGGUGACACUGAAGCACCCUCAAGACCCAGGGGCCCCACCAAGACCGCAUAUGACCUUACUGCAUCAAGGAAGCAUUGGGCCAUGGAACCAUCCAAGUCCUGUUACAUCCCUCAGCAAUCAGUUAAGUCCGCGGAGUAUAAAGUAAAAGGAGGCCCAGUGAGCAUUUGAACAAUCACAAACUUGUUUAGAGAAAGGCAGUAUGAAUUUGGUAAGGGAAGCUAUGUCUAGAAUGCUUCUGGAGAAUCACCGGUGGUAGGACUUCAUGGCCAUUACUGGGGUAGUCCAGGAGCACUUGGUUUAUCUUCUAAUUUAAAAAUCCAAGAAAAGCCAUAAAAAGGGCCUAGACUGGCAACAACACUGGAGACAAGGACUAAAGCCCACAGUUCAAGAGUAAUAGCAGAUAGUAUAUAUAAGCAGUAAAUGCUUGCUGAAUUAAUAAAUGGCUUGUUCAUGGGAAUAAACUGAGAAAUGCAUUCCUGAGAUGUGUCUGCUCCUUUCUCCGAUGAUGCAUCAAGGAAGGUGGAAAAGGCAGUUGUGGGAUGAUGGGUCUACUUUGUUAGGAAAUGCAGGCAUCACACUCCUUCUGACUGGAAUUAUUUUCUGAGCCAAUUAGCAGGGCUCUUCAC
rnacentral:lncRNA from 1 species